rnacentral:rRNA from 1 species
GGUUAAGCGACUAAGCGUACACGGUGGAUGCCCUGGCAGUCAGAGGCGAUGAAGGACGUGCUAAUCUGCGAAAAGCGUCGGUAAGGUGAUAUGAACCGUUACAGCCGGCGAUGUCCGAAUGGGGAAACCCAGUGCAAUUCGUUGCACUAUCGUUAACUGAAUACAUAGGUUAACGAGGCGAACCGGGGGAACUGAAACAUCUAAGUACCCCGAGGAAAAGAAAUCAACCGAGAUUCCCCCAGUAGCGGCGAGCGAACGGGGAGCAGCCCAGAGUCUGAAUCAGCUUGUGUGUUAGUGGAACGGUCUGGAAAGUCCGACGGUACAGGGUGAUAGUCCCGUACACCAAAAUGCACAGGUUGUGAACUCGAAGAGUAGGGCGGGACACGUGGUAUCCUGUCUGAAUAUGGGGGGACCAUCCUCCAAGGCUAAAUACUCCUGACUGACCGAUAGUGAACCAGUACCGUGAGGGAAAGGCGAAAAGAACCCCGGCGAGGGGAGUGAAAAAGAACCUGAAACCGUGUA